UUUCCGUAGGUGAACCUGCGGAAGGAUCAUUACUGAGUGAGGGCCCCUCGGGGUCCAACCUCCCACCCGUGUUUAACGAACCUUGUUGCUUCGGCGGGCCCGCCUCACGGCCGCCGGGGGGCAUCUGCCCCCGGGCCCGCGCCCGCCGAAGCCACCUUUGAACGCUGUCUGAAGUAUGCAGUCUGAGACAAUUAUUAAAUAAUCAAAACUUUCAACAACGGAUCUCUUGGUUCUC
rnacentral:misc_RNA from 1 species